GUUUCAAGCAAAUCUGUCUCUGAGUGUGAACUGUAUGUCUUCGGAUAUGCGACUAUCGCUCUAGACAACUAUGAUCUGCUUGUAGCCUCUGGUACUCUUUUGAACGCAACGGACGUGAUUGCAACCCCUUGUUGAGUUUGCUUCUCUUAGGAACUCUACGUCUGCUGAACCACCUACCUUAGCGGGUAGGUGGUGAGGUGGAUAAACUCGGGGGACUGCUGACUAUAACCAUUUCUCAAAACAGAGGAAGGUUGCGGCAAUAACAGGUCUGUGAUGCCCUCAGAUGUCCCGGGCUGCACACGUGCUACUAUGAGUAGCGCAGUGUGCACAUUUUGAAGAGUGAUAGGUGCUGGGGAUUGUAUAUUUCAUGGGCUCGUCCUGGUAACCAACCGCCCCCAGCAUCUAUCAACCUUCCCUUUACAGGGUGGGUAACCUCUUCGAAAUGCUGGUUUGAUUCUCUUAGUGUUUGUCAUUUUAUUCCUCGUCGCAGCUGCUCUAGGACAUAGUGAACACUGUAAAGUGAUUCCCGUCUUAGGCUUGUGACGCGUGCUUUUCCUGGUUGACUCAUCGUGGGAACUGAUUCUUGUAAUUAUUUGUCACGGGUCAACCAGGAAUGCCUUGUACUGGCGGCUCAUUAAACCGCUCGGUAUACGUCCCUGCCCUUUGUACACACCGCCCGUCGCUCUUACCGAUGACUUUGACUGUGAGUAGGCUGGACCGUAAUGGGAAAGCUGUCAAACAGUUAGAGUUAAAGGAAAGAGAAGUCGUAACAAGGCAUCAGUAGGUGAACUGCCAAAAGGA
rnacentral:rRNA from 1 species